AUUCCCUCUCAGAACUUGCUUAUUAAAUGCAUUUAAAUUGUAUACUGCUACAAAAGACAACAUUGUGGGAAUAUGGCCACCUUUUAUCAACACAAUGCAAGAUAUGCCUUCUGGCACUAGCUUAUGGCAUCUGAAGGCUUCUCAAAGUCUUUAACCUGCAGGAACUGUCUGCUCCCAUCUGCUUCCAUCCAUGUGGGCCUCAAGCUAGUGAGUAGGGUAAGAAGGUACAAAGAUGGAAGGGAAGAUGUAGCAGAUGUCUGCCCAGCACCACUUCUGCUAUAGCGUGUUCAUCAGGCCCACUGCAUAUAUUGAGUGCAUUUAUGAAGCACUGGACUCGAAGUGCAGCAGCAAUUCAGAAGACUGGGAUUUCUCUUCAGAAUCAGCUGGCCAGAUGAUGGUGACUGCUGUUCAGGCAAGUUGUAUUGAGAAAACAAGAGAACAGCAUGUUUGCAGAUUUAACUGAAAUUAUUGGAAAGAAACUUGAUCCCAUAUUUUUUCCAUUAAUAUAAGACGAAAUAUAGGCCGUAUUCAAGUAGAAAGAUUACAUUAAAGUUUUCUAAUGUUGCACUUGGGACAAGUCAUGGAUAAGCUACUAACAAUAUUACAGAAUGAAAUAAUAGAUGGUCUUCAGAAUAUUGGUAAGCUUAUGGGUAUUAUCAGAUUUCUUUACAGAUAUUUGGACAUAUACAUUUAUUAGAACAUAUAUACAUCUGAUUCAAGUUAACUCACUGCUAAGAAUAAAUCAGGUAGCUCAAAACAGCUUAAAUUGAAAACAAGGCAAGCGGUAAGCUGUAUCUGACAGGGAAUGAUUUUUAGUAUUUUCUUCAUUCACCUUAUUUCUCAGUCUAGCCAAAACAUUGCAGCAGUUCAUUUAACUCUUGUACAAGAACCUACCCUAUGCAUGAAAGAUUUCAAUGCAUUUGGCAAGUGAAGUGUCCAACCCCUUUUUACACAUUAUUUCUGCUAAAUUACCACACAAGCAGGAACUUUUGUGGCUCACUGGAACAGCUGAGCGGAUUCCCCCAGUAUUUGCUCAAAGCAAAACAUGAGGGUUUACCUGCCAGAGAACACAA